UACGUAGGGGGCAAGCGUUGUCCGGAUUUAUUGGGCGUAAAGAGCGUGUAGGCGGCCUGGAAGGUCAGCUGUGAAAACUCGAGGCUCAACCUCGAGACGUCGGUUGAAACCACCUGGCUAGAGUCCGGAAGAGGAGAGUGGAAUUCCUGGUGUAGCGGUGAAAUGCGCAGAUAUCAGGAAGAACACCCGUGGCGAAGGCGGCUCUCUGGGACGGUACUGACGCUGAGACGCGAAAGCGUGGGGAGCGAACAGG
rnacentral:rRNA from 1 species